GCGCCCUUAGUUCAAUGGAUAGAACGCUCGGCUUCGGACCGAGUGGUUGGGGGUUCGAGUCCCUCAGGGCGCGCAA
rnacentral:tRNA from 1 species